rnacentral:tmRNA from 1 species
GGGGGCGCCAAGGUUUCGACGGGGGCUCUGAAGCAGGACUAGCGGGCAGAGGCGCAUAUCCUCUUUAAAAUGUGCAAACUUAUAAAUUAAACAACAACAAUAAAGUUGCUAUCGCUGCCUAAUUAAAGGCGGCCGUCCUUGCCGGAAGGGCCACGAGCCGGAUAAGGGCGUGGAUGAGUGGCGUCCGUGCGUGCGCAAAGCUUUGAGCGCACCAUGCAUCAUGAAGCUACUGAGCCGUAAAGCUUGACGACCGGCGUUGCGGUGAGGGAAUGGAAAGGAUCGUCUGCGCCCGGAGAAGGACCUGUGGAUCGGCUUUCGGACAGGGGUUCGAUUCCCCUCGCCUCCACCA